UGCCUAACAGCUAGCCCACCCAAACAAUUUCAACAAACCCCUGUUAAUAACCCCUAAGUACCCCAGUAUUUAUUUUAAACAAACCAUUUUUCCCCCCUAGUAUAGGCGAUAGAAAAGGGCCUACGGCGCAAUAGAGAAAGUACCGCAAGGGAACGCUGAAAGAGAAGUGAAACAACCCAGUAAAGCCUAAAAAAGCAGAGAUCUAAACUCGUACCUUUUGCAUCAUGAUUUAGCAAGUGUAACCCAAGCAAAGCGUACUUUAGUUUGACGUCCCGAAACUAGGUGAGCUACUCCAAGACAGCCUAUCAAUAGGGCGUACCCGUCUCUGUGGCAAAAGAGUGGGGAGAGCUUUGAGUAGAGGUGACAAACCUACCGAACCUAGUUAUAGCUGGUUGUCCAAGAAAUGAAUAGAAGUUCAGCCUUUCAGCUUCUCUUUUCACCUUAGCCUGACCCCUAUUGAUGUAUUAAAGAAACCGAAAGAGUUAGUCAAAGGGGGUACAGCUCCUUUGAAUCAAGACACAACUUUCCCAGGAGGGUAAAGAUCAUAAUAAUUAAAGCUAAAUGUUCUGGUGGGCCUAAAAGCAGCCAUCCCCUUAGAAAGCGUUAAAGCUCAGACAUGCGACCAUACUUCUUAUCCUGAUCACCCAAUCUUAUCCCCCUAACCGUACUGGACCAUCCCAUGCCAACAUGGGAGUGACUAUGCUGAAAUGAGUAAUAAGAGAGCUAUCGGCUCUCUCCCUGCACACAUGUACAUCGGAACGGACAACCCACCGAACCUUAACGGCCCCAAAUAAAGAGGGCAGUGGAUGUCAGACCAAAAAACUAGAAAACUAUCCAAAAACCAACCGUUAAACCCACACAGGUGUGCCCCCAGGGAAAGACUAAA
rnacentral:rRNA from 1 species